AUUGAACGCUGGCGGCAGGCCUAACACAUGCAAGUCGAACGGCAGCACAGAAGAGCUUGCUCUUUGGGUGGCGAGUGGCGGACGGGUGAGUAAUGUCUGGGAAACUGCCCGAUGGAGGGGGAUAACCACUGGAAACGGUAGCUAAUACCGCAUAACGUCGCGAGACCAAAGUGGGGGACCUUCGGGCCUCACACCAUCGGAUGUGCCCAGAUGGGAUUAGCUAGUAGGUGGGGUAAUGGCUCACCUAGGCGACGAUCCCUAGCUGGUCUGCGAGGAUGCCCAGCCACGCUGGAACUGAGACACGGGCCAGACUCCUACGGGAGGCAGCAGUGGGGAAUAUUGCACAGUGGGCGGAAGCCUGAUGCAGCCAUGCCGCGUGUAUGAAGAAGGCCUUCGGGUUGUAAAGUACUUUCAGCGGGGAGGAAGGCGGUGAGGUUAAUAACCUCGCCGAUUGACGUUACCCGCAGAAGAAGCACCGGCUAACUCCGUGCCAGCCGCCGCGGUAA
rnacentral:rRNA from 1 species